UCGAAGAACUUGCCCACAUGCGACAGCAA
rnacentral:sRNA from 1 species